AGUGAAAUUACUGGGUCAUAUGAUAACUUUAACUUUUUGAGGAACUUCUAAACUUUUCCAAAGAGGUUAAUUGCAUUAUCUUAUGUUACUUCCAGCAAU
rnacentral:pre_miRNA from 1 species